UUGGGAGUAAAAGUCGUAACAAGGUCUCCGUUGGUGAACCAGCGGAGGGAUCAUUAACGAGUUCCAUUCUCCUUAAUACACCCGUGAACGUUUCUUCAACUGUUCGUUGCUUCGGCGGGCGGCCCCGGGGAGGGGCCGCAGCCCGCAAGGGCGCCCGCCGGCGGCAGCGCAGCACACAACUCUUGCGAUUUAGGCCCCUCUGAGAAGACACUAAAUGAGUCAAAACUUUCAACAACGGAUCUCUUGGUUCUGGCAUCGAUGAAGAACGCAGCGAAAUGCGAUAAGUAAUGUGAAUUGCAGAACUCAGCGAAUCAUCGAAUCUUUGAACGCACAUUGCGCCCGCCGGCAUUCCGGCGGGCAUGCCUGUUCGAGCGUCAUUUCAACCCUCGAGCCCUGCUCGGUGUUGGGGCCCCGCGGCCGCCGCGGGCCCUGAAAAGAAGUGGCGGGCGCGCCUGGACCCGUAGCGCAGUAAUACACCUCGCUCGCGGCGUCCCGGCGCGUGCCGGCCGUAAAACCCCUUUAUCUCAAGGUUGACCUCGGAUCAGGUAGGAAUACCCGCUGAACUUAAGC
rnacentral:rRNA from 1 species